rnacentral:rRNA from 1 species
UCUUAAUUUUAAAGAUUUCCGAAGUAGUAAAUAGAAACUUAAAAAUUUGACAGUAUUUAAUUUUCUAAAGGAAUAUGUAAUAUAAUCGUCAAUACACGCUUAAUCUUACUUAUUUUUUUUUGUAUAUCUCCGUUGUCAGAUAUUAUUUAAAGUUAAAAUAAUUUUCUUAAUAAUAAUUUUUAAUACUUCAGGUCAAGGUGCAGAAUAAAUAAGACAUUAUGUAUUACAAUCAAAAUUAUUGUAAUGAAUUUAUAUUUGAAAAAUUUUCUGAAAAUGAAUUUAUAAGUAAAAAAAAAUAAAAAAUUUAUUUGAAAUAUUUAUUAAAUAUGU